rnacentral:rRNA from 1 species
AGAGUUUGAUCCUGGCUCAGGAUGAACGCUGGCGGCGUGCCUAAUACAUGCAAGUCGAGCGAACAGACAAGGAGCUUGCUCCUUUGACGUUAGCGGCGGACGGGUGAGUAACACGUGGGUAACCUACCUAUAAGACUGGGAUAACUUCGGGAAACCGGAGCUAAUACCGGAUAAUAUUUCGAACCGCAUGGUUCGAUAGUGAAAGAUGGUUUUGCUAUCACUUAUAGAUGGACCCGCGCCGUAUUAGCUAGUUGGUAAGGUAACGGCUUACCAAGGCGACGAUACGUAGCCGACCUGAGAGGGUGAUUGGCCACACUGGAACUGAGACACGGUCCAGACUCCUACGGGAGGCAGCAGUAGGGAAUCUUCCGCAAUGGGCGAAAGCCUGACGGAGCAACGCCGCGUGAGUGAUGAAGGUCUUCGGAUCGUAAAACUCUGUUAUUAGGGAAGAACAUACGUGUAAGUAACUAUGCACGUCUUGACGGUACCUAAUCAGAAAGCCACGGCUAACUACGUGCCAGCAGCCGCGGUAAUACGUAGGUGGCAAGCGUUAUCCGGAAUUAUUGGGCGUAAAGCGCGCGUAGGCGGUUUUUUAAGUCUGAUGUGAAAGCCCACGGCUCAACCGUGGAGGGUCAUUGGAAACUGGAAAACUUGAGUGCAGAAGAGGAAAGUGGAAUUCCAUGUGUAGCGGUGAAAUGCGCAGAGAUAUGGAGGAACACCAGUGGCGAAAGCGACUUUCUGGUCUGUAACUGACGCUGAUGUGCGAAAGCGUGGGGAUCAAACAGGAUUAGAUACCCUGGUAGUCCACGCCGUAAACGAUGAGUGCUAAGUGUUAGGGGGUUUCCGCCCCUUAGUGCUGCAACUAACGCAUUAAGCACUCGGCUGGGGAGUACGACCGCAAGGUUGAAACU